CUCCGUGUUGUAGCUAACGCGUUAGCACUCCGCCUGGGGACUACGGUCGCAAGACUAAAACUCAAAGGAAUUGACGGGGACCCGCACAAGCGGUGGAGCAUGUGGUUUAAUUCGAUGCAACGCGAAAAACCUUACCACUCCUUGACAUGGAGAUUAGAUCCUUCUUAACGGAAGGGCGCAGUUCGGCUGGAUCUCGCACAGGUGCUGCAUGGCUGUCGUCAGCUCGUGUCGUGAGAUGUUGGGUUAAGUCCCGCAACGAGCGUAACCCUCAUCCUUAGUUGCCAGCGGGUUAAGCCGGGCACUUUAAGGAAACUGCCAGUGGUAAACUGGAGGAAGGUGGGGAUGAUGUCAAGUCAGCACGGCCCUUAUGGGGUGGGCUACACACGUGCUACAAUGGUGAUUACAAUAGGUUGCAAUGUCGCAAGGCUGAGCUAAUCCGUAAAAGUCAUCUCAGUUCGGAUUGUCCUCUGCAACUCGAGGGCAUGAAGUCGGAAUCGCUAGUAAUCGUGGAUCAGCAUGCCACGGUGAAUACGUUCUCGGGUCUUGUACACACUGCCCGUCACGCCAUGGGAAUUGGCUUAACUCGAAGCUGGUGCGC
rnacentral:rRNA from 1 species